ACUCCGUGAUGAACAUUCAACGACAAGCAUAUGGCUGAACUUAAAAGUGAUGUCAUCCGAGUCCUGAGAAGU